GUGAACGCUGGCGGCGUGCCUAACACAUGCAAGUCGAACGAUGAUGGAGAGCUUGCUCUCCUGAUUAGUGGCGCACGGGUGAGUAUACCAUAGAUAAUGUACCUCUUAGUUUGGGAUAGCCACUGGAAACGGUGAUUAAUACCAGAUACUCCUUCUCGUUAUAAGACGAGUCGGGAAAGUUUUUUCGCUAAGAGAUCAGUCUAUGUCCUAUCAGCUAGUUGGUGAGGUAAUGGCUCACCAAGGCUAUGACGGGUAUCUGGUUUGAGAGGAUGAUCAGACACACUGGAACUGAGACACGGUCCAGACUCCUACGGGAGGCAGCAGUGAGGAAUAUUGCACAAUGGAGGAAACUCUGAUGCAGCAACGCCGCGUGGAGGAUGACGCAUUUCGGUGUGUAAACUUCUUUUGUACGGGACGAAACCCCUGAACGUGUUCGGGGCUGACGGUACUGUACGAAUAAGCAUCGGCUAACUCCGU
rnacentral:rRNA from 1 species